CAUUACCGAGUUUACAACUCCCAAACCCCUGUGAACAUACCUAUACGUUGCCUCGGCGGAUCAGCCCGCGCCCCGUAAAACGGGACGGCCCGCCCGAGGACCCCUAAACUCUGUUUUUAGUGGAACUUCUGAGUAAAACAAACAAAUAAAUCAAAACUUUCAACAACGGAUCUCCUGGUUCUGGCAUCGAUGAAGAACGCAGCAAAAUGCGAUAAGUAAUGUGAAUUGCAGAAUUCAGUGAAUCAUCGAAUCUUUGAACGCACAUUGCGCCCGCCAGUAUUCUGGCGGGCAUGCCUGUUCGAGCGUCAUUUCAACCCUCAAGCUCAGCUUGGUGUUGGGACUCGCGGUAACCCGCGUUCCCCAAAUCGAUUGGCGGUCACGUCGAGCUUCCAUAGCGUAGUAAUCAUACACCUCGUUACUGGUAAUCGUCGCGGCCACGCCGUUAAACCCCAACUUCUGAAUGUUGACCUCGGAUCAGGUAGGAAUACCCGCUGAACUUAA
rnacentral:rRNA from 1 species